UAAUAUGGAGAGUUUGAUCCUGGCUCAGGAUGAACGCUGGCGGUAUGCUUAACACAUGCAAGUCGAACGGAGAUCGAAAGAUCUUAGUGGCGGACGGGUGAGUAACGCGUGAGAAUCUGCCUCUAGGAGGGGGACAACAGGAAGAGAACAAUAGGACUCUUUUCGCCGAAAGGUCUGCUAAUACCCCAUAUGCCGUAAGGUGAAAGGAUUUUUAAUCUGCCUGGAGAAGAGCUCGCGUCUGAUUAGCUAGUUGGUAAGGUAAUGGCUUACCAAGGCGACGAUCAGUAGCUGGUCUGAGAGGAUGACCAGCCACACUGGGACUGAGAUACGGCCCAGACUCCUACGGGAGGCAGCAGUGGGGAAUUUUCCGCAAUGGGCGAAAGCCUGACGGAGCAAUACCGCGUGAGGGAAGAAGGCCUGUGGGUUGUAAACCUCUUUUCUCAGGGAAGAAGAUAUGACGGUACCUGAGGAAUAAGCAUCGGCUAACUCCGUGCCAGCAGCCGCGGUAAUACGGAGGAUGCAAGCGUUAUCCGGAAUUAUUGGGCGUAAAGAGUUCGUAGGUGGUUUAAUAAGUCUGUUGUUAAAGAUUGGGGCUUAACCCCAAAAAGGCAAUGGAAACUAUUAGGCUUGAGUACGGUAGGGGUAGAGGGAAUUCCCGGUGUAGCGGUGAAAUGCGUAGAUNNNNNNNNNNGGGUUAAGUCCCGCAACGAGCGCAACCCUUGUUUUUAGUUGCCAGCAUUCAGUUGGGUACUCUAAAGAAACUGCCGGUGACAAGCCGGAGGAAGGGAGGGAUGACGUCAAGUCAGCAUGCCCCUUAUAUCCUGGGCUACACACGUGCUACAAUGGCCGGGACAAAAGGUUGCGAACUUGUGAAAGUAAGCCAAUCCUAUAAACCCGGUCUCAGUUCGGAUUGCAGGCUGCAACUCGCCUGCAUGAAGGUGGAAUCGCUAGUAAUCGCCGGUCAGCUAUACGGCGGUGAAUCCGUUCCCGGGCCUUGUACACACCGCCCGUCACACCAUGGGAGUUGGCCACGCCCGAAGUCGUUACCCUAACUAUUUUAGAGGGGGACGCCGAAGGCAGGGCUGGUGACUGGGGUGAAGUCGUAACAAGGUAGCCGUACUGGAAGGUGCGGCUGGAUCACCUCCUUU
rnacentral:rRNA from 1 species